CGCUAGCUACAGGCUUAACACAUGCAAGUCGAGGGGAAACGACAUCGAAAGCUUGCUUUUGAUGGGCGUCGACCGGCGCACGGGUGAGUAACGCGUAUCCAACCUGCCCACCACUUGGGGAUAACCUUGCGAAAGUAAGACUAAUACCCAAUGACGUCUCUAGAAGACAUCUGAAGGAGAUUAAAGAUUUAUCGGUGAUGGAUGGGGAUGCGUCUGAUUAGCUUGUUGGCGGGGUAACGGCCCACCAAGGCGACGAUCAGUAGGGGUUCUGAGAGGAAGGUCCCCCACAUUGGAACUGAGACACGGUUCAAACUCCUACGGGAGGCAGCAGUGAGGAAUAUUGGUCAAUGGACGAGAGUCUGAACCAGCCAAGUAGCGUGCAGGAUGACGGCCCUAUGGGUUGUAAACUGCUUUUAUAAGGGAAUAAAGUGAGUCUCGUGAGACUUUUUGCAUGUACCUUAUGAAUAAGGACCGGCUAAUUCCGUGCCAGCAGCCGCGGUAAUACGGAAGGUCCGGGCGUUAUCCGGAUUUAUUGGGUUUAAAGGGAGCGUAGGCCGGAGAUUAAGCGUGUUGUGAAAUGUAGACGCUCAACGUCUGCACUGCAGCGCGAACUGGUUUCCUUGAGUACGCACAAAGUGGGCGGAAUUCGUGGUGUAGCGGUGAAAUGCUUAGAUAUCACGAAGAACUCCGAUUGCGAAGGCAGCUCACUGGAGCGCAACUGACGCUGAAGCUCGAAAGUGCGGGUAUCGAACAGGAUUAGAUACCCUGGUAGUCCGCACGGUAAACGAUGGAUGCCCGCUGUUGGUCUGAAUAGGUCAGCGGCC
rnacentral:rRNA from 1 species